GAUGAACGCUGGCGGCGUGCCUAAUACAUGCAAGUCGAGUGAACAGACGAGGAGCUUGCUCCUCUGACGUUAGCGGCGGACGGGUGAGUAACACGUGGAUAACCUACCUAUAAGACUGGGAUAACUUCGGGAAACCGGAGCUAAUACCGGAUAAUAUAUUGAACCGCAUGGUUCAAUAGUGAAAGACGGUUUUGCUGUCACUUAUAGAUGGAUCCGCGCCGCAUUAGCUAGUUGGUAAGGUAACGGCUUACCAAGGCGACGAUGCGUAGCCGACUUGAGAGGGUGAUCGGCCACACUGGAACUGAGACACGGUCCAGACUCCUACGGGAGGCAGCAGUAGGGAAUCUUCCGCAAUGGGCGAAAGCUUGACGGAGCAACACCGCGUGAGUGAUGAAGGUCUUCGGAUCGUAAAACUCUGUUAUUAGGGAAGAACAAAUGUGUAAGUAACUAUGCACGUCUUGACGGUACCUAAUCAGAAAGCCACGGCUAACUACGUG
rnacentral:rRNA from 1 species